AUUGAACGCUGGCGGCAGGCCUAACACAUGCAAGUCGAACGAGUGGCGGACGGGUGAGUAAUGUCUGGGAAACUGCCUGAUGGAGGGGGAUAACUACUGGAAACGGUAGCUAAUACCGCAUACCAUCGGAUGUGCCCAGAUGGGAUAAGCUAGCAGGUGGGGUAAAGGCUAACCUGGGCGACGAUCCCUAGCUGGUCUGAGAGGAUGACCAGCCACAGUGAAACUGAGAAACGGCCCAGAGUCCUACGGGAGGCAGGAGGGGAGAAUAUUGAACAAUGGGAGCAAGCCUGAUGCAGCCAUGCCGCGUGUAUGAAGGAAGCCUUCGGGUUGUAAAGUACUUAAAGCGGGGAGGCGUUACCCGCAGGAGAAGCCCCGGCUAAAUCCGAGCCAGCAGCCGCGGUAAUAC
rnacentral:rRNA from 1 species